rnacentral:rRNA from 1 species
GGGGAAUAUUGCACAAUGGGCGCAAGCCUGAUGCAGCGACGCCGCGUGAGGGAUGACGGCCUUCGGGUUGUAAACCUCUUUCAGUAGGGAAGAAGCGAAAGUGACGGUACCUGCAGAAGAAGCGCCGGCUAACUACGUGCCAGCAGCCGCGGUAAUACGUAGGGCGCAAGCGUUAUCCGGAAUUAUUGGGCGUAAAGAGCUCGUAGGCGGUUUGUCGCGUCUGCCGUGAAAGUCCGGGGCUCAACUCCGGAUCUGCGGUGGGUACGGGCAGACUAGAGUGAUGUAGGGGAGACUGGAAUUCCUGGUGUAGCGGUGAAAUGCGCAGAUAUCAGGAGGAACACCGAUGGCGAAGGCAGGUCUCUGGGCAUUAACUGACGCUGAGGAGCGAAAGCAUGGGGAGCGAACAGGAUUAGAUACCCUGGUAGUCCAUGCCGUAAACGUUGGGCACUAGGUGUGGGGGACAUUCCACGUUUUCCGCGCCGUANCUAACGCAUUAAGUGCCCCGCCUGGGGAGUACGGCCGCAAGGCUA